UCAGUUGCAAUCUAGCAUCUGGGGCUUACAGACGAGUAUUUGAUUACUCUAUAUAUUGCCUCGGGAAGGUCUGAGAUUUGGUCAAAGUUCAGAAAAAAACAUGUUGUGUUAUACAUGUGAACUUAAACUAAUAAAUUUUCUAGCAGGAAACUUGUAUGAUUAAAAGGCAAAGGGACAAGAAAUUCUGGUUUGUUUUUGUUACAAAAAUGAUCCAUUGAAAUCUUUUGUGACCAGCAAUUUUAGUGCGAUGUGCUUGCUGUUUGAAAAUAAGUUGCAAAACUUGUUAUAGAACAGAACUCAAUUCAGACUAAUCUGUGACUGA
rnacentral:RNase_P_RNA from 1 species